rnacentral:rRNA from 1 species
GAUAAACGCUGGCGGCAUGCCUAAUACAUGCAAGUCGAACGGAGGUGCUUGCACCUCAGUGGCGAACGGGUGAGUAACACGUAUCUAAUCUACCUUCUAGCGCGGGAUAACUUUUGGAAACGAAAGGUAAUACCGCAUGUGGAUAUUAUUAUCGCAUGAGAAAAUAUUCAAAGAUCCGUUUGGAUCACUAGAAGAUGAGGAUGCGGCGUAUUAGCUAGUAGGCGGGGUAAGAGCCCACCUAGGCGAUGAUACGUAGCCGAACUGAGAGGUUGAUCGGCCACAUUGGGACUGAGAUACGGCCCAGACUCCUACGGGAGGCAGCAGUAGGGAAUUUUUCACAAUGGACGAAAGUCUGAUGAAGCAAUGCCGCGUGAGUGAUGA